GGAUGGCACCUCCCAGCGGGAGUGGCAUCCGCGAAGGAAAGAUGGAAGCUGGGCAGCCAAGGCGCAGGGAGAAAGCCCAGGACCGCGGAAUCGCUCUGUGGAAGGGCAGGCGAUUCCACAGGGCGGAUUCCUGCCGGGACUGCAGGAGGAUCUGCGCGCAGGCGUGAGCGGAGUGGACACGCACCCGCGACCCGGCCGCGCGAGCCCGUCUGGGGACCAGGGAGACCGAGAAAGGUCCAGGAGUGGAAUUUCUGAGGCAAAUGGCAACCUGAAGAAAUGCCACACUGUCUUCCAAAGUCGAUGCUGAAGCCAGGAGACCACCCAGCCUGACAAAGAAAGGAAUUCUUGUCUGCAGUUGACAGCCCUCAGGUUGACGGCUUUCCAUUUGCCCCGGAGGCUGUCACUCGCAGAACAAUGGCAGCGAGCAGGGUGGCUCUCACCUGAGACUGGCGCUGCCGCCAGAGGAGGGGGCAGCCGGGAUGGGGGUGUUGUCUCUCUUCCCAAGAUGCAAAGGUUGUAAGAUCACUGCCGCCUGCAGCAGGCCUGCUCAGGGAGGCUGCGGAGGAUUAUUUUCUGCGUGGCUGGCGUCUCACUCUGCAGACAGAAAGCAGUAAACAGCAGAAGGUUACUUCUCAUUAAAAAAAAUAAUAAAUUAUAACAAAUGACUGUAACAGAAACAUGAAUAUAUCUCAAAAACAUCAUGUUAAGCAAAGAAGUCCGAUGUAAAAAAGAAUGCAUGCUGUAUGAUUUCCAUUUCUAUGAAGUUCUAGAGCAGGCAAAAUGAAGUUAUGGUGAUCGAAAUUAGGUUAAUGGUUGCUUUCUUAGGAGAGCAGAAGGUUGACCAUAAAGGGAUGCCAAGGAACUUUCUAGGGCAUGGAAACAUUCUAUGCCCUGAUUGAGCGAAAACAUGAAUGGACAUACUUUUGUAAAAUAGUAAACUAUGUGCUUAAAAUCAGUGCAUUUUGCUGUAUGAAAACUACAGUGUUACAAUAGCCUUGAUUAACAAAGCUGAAUUGCAAAAUAAAUUAAAAGAUCUUUUCUCAUUCUCAAAAGAAACACAUGUUGACACUAAAAGACUGAGAAAAUACAUUUUUAAAGAAAAUUUAAAAAUCAUCCAUAAUUCUAUUACUCAGAGGUAAACAUGGUUAUCAAUUUUAUAUUGAUAGUGCCAGUUAUUUAUUUUUACACACACAUACACUCACAAACGAGAGCAGUUACAUUAGAUGUGCAGUUAAAACUUCAGAAGAGGUAAAAGAACAUCAAAAAUCUGUCUUUCCCAUCCCACUCUCCAGGAUCAGUCACCACCACCAGUUACUUUUAUGUUUUUCUAAAAAUACAUGUGUAUGAUGUUCCUUAAGUGGAAAACAGCGUUCUACACACACAGCUUACAUUUAUACUAACCUGCAUUUUUAACACAAUAUGACCACAUGAAUCUUUCUAUGCUAUUAAAAUCUUUGUACAUUGUCAUUUUACACAGACUUUGGACUAAAGUAGAACACAGAAACAGAAAUGCACAAAAUCAUAACAGUGGAGUUCAAAGCACUUUCACAAAUUGACUCUCCUAUCUGGUACCAAUAUAAAAAUAAGAGAACAUUUCCAGAAUCCCCCCAAAUCUUUUGGGUCCUCUUCUACUUACUGCAUCCCCUCCCCUCAAAAGUAAUACAAUUCUGACUUCUAGUUUCUAGUUGGUUUCACAUGGUGUUUGAAAUUUAUAUGGUCUACUUAUACAUUUUUUUAUGCCUAUAUUCUUGCAUUUGACAACAUAGGAGUAAGAUUUGUUCAUGUUGCAUAUAGCAAUAAUUAAUUCACUCAUUGCCAUAUAUAGUAUUUCUUUAAAUAAAUAUUUCACAUUAUUUAUCAA